rnacentral:rRNA from 1 species
UACAGAGGUCCCAAGCGUUGUUCGGAUUCAUUGGGCGUAAAGGGUGCGUAGGCGGCGCGGUAAGUCGGGUGUGAAAUCUUGGAGCUUAACUCCGAAACUGCAUUCGAUACUGCCGUGCUUGAGGACUGGAGAGGAGACUGGAAUUUACGGUGUAGCGGUGAAAUGCGUAGAUAUCGUAAGGAAGACCAGUAGCGAAGGCGGCUCGCUGGGCCAUUCCUGACGCUGAGACGCGAAAGCUAGGGGAGCGAACAGG